rnacentral:rRNA from 1 species
AUGGCAGGUAACAAUGUGGCGUGGCAGCCCCAAGUUGUAGAUGAAAUGCUAUGUUACUACAAAGAGAAGAUUCGGUCUGAGGGAAAACAAGUUGUCUUCAAAGAGAUGCACCAUGAGGAGUGUGGAAAACAAACCAAUGCAAUGUUUACCACUGCCUUCACAAAAAGGCAAGUUUAUCAGAAGUUUCAUAAGCUGAAAGAUCAGUGGAAGAACAAAGACAAAAGGGCAAAAUAUAUCAAUGUGCCUAUUGCCAACUUCGAUGAGAUGGAGUUCAUAUUUCAGGAUAAGCAUGCUACCGGAGAGUUCACGGUCCUUCAAACACCCUAUGACCGUGUUCAUGCUCGUGACAAGUAUUUUGUUGGUGACAUCGAGAAGAAUGCGAUUCAUGUUGAUCCUGCAACACAAUAUGAUUCAUAUCGUCUUCCUGAUGACACCAAUGAUGAAAGCUCAUCUUUGAAGUGUCCUAGAGGUGGCAAACGCGAUAAAGGUAAGAGUAAGUGUGAUGAGAGUGUAGUCCGAGACAUGACACGGUCUCUGCUUGAUAUGUCGGAUAAUAUGCGUUUCACACAUACAUCUUUGGCCACCAAUGAACAAGUCGCCUCCAUGUUGAAAGGGAGGCCGAUGGCUGCUAUUCAAGAGUUUGUGUGGCGUUGGGUCGGUGAUAACUUUCCUGAACACGUUCGUUUUCCUCCUAACAUGUGA